rnacentral:lncRNA from 1 species
AAAAAUGCAGGAGGCCCACUAGGUUAGGCUCAUUAGUCCAAACAUAAAAAAUAAAAAAACUAGCUAUAAUCUGAACCACUUGAUGGAUUCAAGGGCGAGAUCUGGCCAUAAGAUCCAAUGAUUUAGGCCCUUUAAUCUUAAUCUUGUGAUCAUAAGAUGAGGGUCUAUGAUAGACCCAAUGGGGGAUCCUAUACAUGAUCUCUUCAUUUAAAAUAUAAACCAACCAAAAUAUUCCCGACAUGUGGCAAUCGUAAUUAAAAAAGAAGAAGAAAACAAAACAAAUAAAUAAAUAAACAAGAAAAGAAAAAAAU